AUUGAACGCUGGCGGCAGGCCUAACACAUGCAAGUCGAACGGUAACAGGAAGCAGCUUGCUGCUUUGCUGACGAGUGGCGGACGGGUGAGUAAUGUCUGGGAAACUGCCCAAUGGAGGGGGAUAACUACUGGAAACGGUAGCUAAUACCGCAUAACGUCGCAAGACCAAAGAGGGGGACCUUAGGGCCUCUUGCCAUCGGAUGUGCCCAGAUGGGAUUAGCUAGUAGGUGGGGUAACGGCUCACCUAGGCGACGAUCCCUAGCUGGUCUGAGAGGAUGACCAGCCACACUGGAACUGAGACACGGUCCAGACUCCUACGGGAGGCAGCAGUGGGGAAUAUUGCACAAUGGGCGCAAGCCUGAUGCAGCCAUGCCGCGUGUAUGAAGAAGGCCUUCGGGUUGUAAAGUACUUUCAGCGGGGAGGAAGGGAGUAAAGUUAAUACCUUUGCUCAUUGACGUUACCCGCAGAAGAAGCACCGGCUAACUCCGUG
rnacentral:rRNA from 1 species